rnacentral:rRNA from 1 species
UACGGGGGGAGCAAGCGUUGUUCGGAUUUACUGGGCGUAAAGGGCGCGUAGGCGGCCACCGCAAGUCGAUUGUGAAAUCUCCGGGCUUAACCCGGAAAGGUCAACCGAUACUGCGGGGCUAGAGUGCAGAAGGGGCAACUGGAAUUCUCGGUGUAGCGGUGAAAUGCGUAGGAUAUCGAGAGGAACACCUGCGGCGAAGGCGGGUUGCUGGGCUGACACUGACGCUGAAGUGCGAAAGCGUGGGGAGCAAACAGG